CAGACGCUUGUGAACACACACCCCGUGUGCCCGCCCCGGAAGCGCCCGUCACAUGGCGGCGCGGCGCUGCCAUAAACACACCAAGAUGGCGGCCCUCACGCCGCCAGCCCGUGCUGCGUCAUGUCGCCCCCCGGCCCCGAUGAGCGCUGCGCCCUCAGGCUUUAUUUCUGUGACUGUCGCGAUAAUCACGAUGGAAAUCAGGUUUGCUCCCUGCGUGCCUCAUACCCUGCCACAGAGCGAGCGUGGCUUGUAGUACUCGGAAGAGGUUUGACCCGGGGAGUGGCGAGCGUGCGGGUUGUGGCCAGGGCACAUCAGUAAUUCCCAUCGCUGUGAUGGCUGAAGGAAUUCUGGUGCAUACAAAACAAGUAACAAAACCCAUCCCAAAAUACGUAGAAUUGCCAGCCCCAAAGGGGCAGGAGGUGGGACUGGAGUUGAAAACCGGCCACACAAACUUACAUGGCUUUCGGAAGCGGGAACUGGCAGCAAACACUGGAAACUAGAGGGUUUUUCUUAAGGUAUAUAGAAAUAUGCAAUGCUUUAGUAAUAACGAGGACAAAAAUAUGUGCUAGACUCCAAAACUGAUGUGAGUUUUGCUUAUAAGGGGGUUUCUUCAGAUAAUAAUGGUGAACCUCUGUAGGCUUUUUGAGUCAGGUCUCUGUAUCUUUAGGCUGACCAAGCAAAAAUCACCAUGUGAGUGUUGGAUGCCAGGAAACAAACCGUAUGCGUGUUGGAGUAAGAGCUCGAUCCUCUAGAGAAAAUGGCAUCAGCCCUUAGAAUAUGUAACUCCAACAACAGCCUUUGUGCCAGGGGGUGUCAGGCAGGAAUUGUUCACCUUUGUUGUCAUGUAGCUCCUGCCUUUAAAUAGCAUAAUAGUAACUACCAGAGCAUGGAAUAAAAUGUGGAAAGAGUGGUCAAGGCAUACUGGAGCUAUAAAAUGACAAAUCUUCUCCCAUCACUUCAGCCUGUGAAAUCUGAGAUUCCCAAUCCUACGCUUAUGCCAUUCUGUGGAAAUCAGUAGAGUUUUUCUGCUGGAAUAGUAGUGGUGUGGUAAGAACACCUCCAAGUGAGAGCAAAUGGUUCAUUACUUACACAGCUUCCUUCCUUUUCAGAAGUCACCAUUGUAUAUAUAGAAUUUAUUAAUGUGUUUUACCAAGCUUUUCUGUUGUCUGUUUUUUUUUCUAGCAGCAGCAGCAGACUCUUUAAUGAUUAAUCUACAAAUGGUGGUAAAUCUGUAAGUUUGAGGAGAUACGUUUAAGUCAUCUGUGUCUUACGUCAGGAUUGCAUAAUCUGUUGGCUGUCCCCUUUUUGUGUAAUGUAUGUUUGUAGUUUGGUUUAAAACAUACAAAUAUUUUUUUUCCACUGCGUGCUUCUCCUCAGAUAGUUCGUAUUUGUCUCUCCGUUGCCCUCUGGAGUUAAAAACUUGUAAGACGCCGUUUUGAUAGCUGGAGCCAGCUGGCUGGUACGUAUUUCUCUCUUAAAAACAGCCUCUGUCACAUCUCGGGACAUGCUCUUUUCCAGGUAAGUUGUAUAGAGUGUUAGGCUACUUUUGGAGUUUCGGCUUCCUCUUGGUAGAAACGUGAGAGCAACUUGUACUAGUGAAGGCCAUCAACAUCUGAAAUGAACUCCUUAUGAAAAACUUAAUAAUACAUUAACUUUUUCUGUAACACAUUAACUUUUAUUAUGUAAAACCGUUGUGCUUUUUAAACUCAUUUCAGAACUUAAUCUACUUGAUUCUCUUAACCAAAGUGUGUGUGUAUGUAGAAAUAUUUCCAUGAUCUUUUCGGCAAUGCCUGUUUUUCAGGAAGAAAACAAAAAAGAGAGGGAGGUAAAAAUACAGGUUGAUAUAAGGUUGUAAUUUAACAAGUUUGUGGUGGAAUUGUUUAUUUCACAACUUUGUACCCUCUGACCUAAAAAUGCCAGCUGAGCCUUUAGGCCCCUCUUGUGCUUCCUCCAGCUGCAGCCCCUGGUGAACGCAGCUGGAUGCUGCUCCCCUCAGAGCCCUCGUGCUGGUGGUGUUAGUGAUCCCCCUCCUCAGCUGUCACAGGCGGUGUAGCUCCAUUAACUCACCUGGCUCUCUGCCAUUACACCCGGUGACUGUCUGGUUCCUGACAUUCAAUACUCAAGCAGCAUAAACCAAAUGCUGCUGUCUAACGCCAGUGAAUUUAAGGGGGAAGAGAGGGUUGCCCCUAUUCCCUCUGAUGAUACCUGUAGAGCGGUUAGUUACCCCUUCUCCGUUAAAUCCAGCAUUGGUGGAUGUAGCCAGCAGAAGCUACUACUUAAACCCACUUUGAGCUGCAUUGCAGAAGCCACCGUGGUGAUUAAGAUAGCAAAUUAUCCAGAUAAUUAGUGCUGGACUGAAACUGCUGAUGCAAAGCCACUUCUGUUAAAUGCUGCUGAGCUUUUCACCUGGCAAAUGGACAUCGGUUGGGGUGAUGCGGGGUUUUUGGGACAUGUAAGGGAUGAGGAGAUGGAGGACGUGCCUGCUGGGCUUGGCAGUGUUGUGGAGGGGCCGCAAUGACUGACAGGCUGCCCUGGCUCAGUUAUCACAGUGCUGAUGCUGUCUCUUGUAAAGGUACAGUACUGUGAUAACUGAAGGAUGGCAGCCAUCUGAGCUUCUCUGUGCCCCGGGGAUGCACGUACAGCGCAGCAGCGGCCUCCUGAAGCAGAGUGUACUCGUCUGAAAUGUACCUCUUUGCAUAAAAGUCAAAGGUUAAUGUUUUAUUUGAAUAAAAUAUUGGACUUUAUUGGGAGUUUGGCUGUUAACUGACUGUUUUGCCUUCGAAGAUGCCUUCCAGAAGUGGCGUGCUUUGGAGAUCUUCAAAAUGGUUCAGAAAACAGGGUCCUGUGCAGCACAGUGGAGUAUUGAAGAGUGGAGGGGUGGGUCAGUGGGUGAUACUUGGUACAAGAAAAACUGGAAACAACUGUAGCAGUACAGAAAAUAGAGCCUUUUUAAGAUACUUUUUAAUACAUCUUGUUAAAGAU